AAAAUGACCAAAAUAGCAUUUUAUGUUUUGAAAAAUUUAAAUUUUUUUUUAUUUUUCAAAAUUUGAAAUCUUAUCCCAAACCCCAACUCUAAACCCUAAAACCUAAACUCUAAACCCUAAACCCUAAACUCUAAACCCAAAACCCUAAACCCCACCCCUUAACUCUAAACCCUAAACCCCACCCCUAAACUUUAAACUCUAAACCCUAAACCCUAAACCCUAAACUCUAAACCCUAAACCAUAAACCCUAAAUAAAAAACCCCACCCCU
rnacentral:lncRNA from 1 species